rnacentral:rRNA from 1 species
GAUGAACGCUGGCGGCGUGCCUAAUACAUGCAAGUCGAGCGAACAGACGAGGAGCUUGCUCCUCUGACGUUAGCGGCGGACGGGUGAGUAACACGUGGAUAACCUACCUAUAAGACUGGGAUAACUUCGGGAAACCGGAGCUAAUACCGGAUAAUAUAUUGAACCGCAUGGUUCAAUAGUGAAAGACGGUUUUGCUGUCACUUAUAGAUGGAUCCGCGCCGCAUUAGCUAGUUGGUAAGGUAACGGCUUACCAAGGCAACGAUGCGUAGCCGACCUGAGAGGGUGAUCGGCCACACUGGAACUGAGACACGGUCCAGACUCCUACGGGAGGCAGCAGUAGGGAAUCUUCCGCAAUGGGCGAAAGCCCGACGGAGCAACGCCGCGUGAGUGAUGAAGGUCUUCGGAUCGUAAAACUCUGUUAUUAGGGAAGAACAAAUGUGUAAGUAACUAUGCACGUCUGGACGGUACCUAAUCAGAAAGCCACGGCUAACUACGU